rnacentral:lncRNA from 1 species
UCACAGACUGCGUUAGUCUGCUCGGGCUGCCAGGACAAAGUCCCACAGGCUGAGUGGCUUAAACAUCAGAAAUCUAUUCUCUCACAGUCCUGGAGGCUAGAAGUCUGAGAUGAAGAUGUUGGCUGGCUGGCUCCCGCUGAGGCCAUGAGGGAGAAUCUGUUCCAGGCCUCUCUCUCAGCUUCUGGGGGUUUGCCAGCAAUCUUCGGUGCUCCUUGGCAUGUGGAAGCAUCACCCUGAUCUCUUCCUCCGUCCUCACGUGGCGCUCUCCUCGUGUGCAGCUCUGUGUCCAAAUUUGCCCUUUCACAAGGACACCAGUCAUAUUGGAUCAGGGCCCACCCUAGUGAUCUCAGGAACCCCCAAACUGUUCCACAGCAGACGCACCAUUUUACACUCCGCCCAGCCGUGUACGAGGGUUCCAGUGUCUCCACGUCCUCGCCAACACUUGCUAUUUUCCGUUUUCUUGAAUAAAGUCGUCCUGGUGGGUGCGAAGUGCUAUCUCACUGUGGUUUUGAUUUGCGUUUCCCUAGUGACUAAUGAGCCAGCCCCGGUGGGCUAGUGGUUAAGAUCUGGCGCUCUCGCUGCCAUGGCCCAGGUUCAUCUCCUGGUCCGGGAACCACACCACCCGUCUGUUGGUUGUCACACUACAGGGGCUGCAUGUUGCUGUGAUGCUGAAAGCUAUGCCACCAGGAUUUCAAACACCAGCAGUGUCACCCAUGGUGGACAGGUUUCAGCGGAGCUUCCAGACUAAGACAGACUAGGAAGAAGGAACUGGCCACCCAUUUUCGAAAAAAUUGGCCAUGAAAACCCUGUGAACAGCAGUGGAGCGCUGUCUGAUCGAGCGGCUGGAAGGCGAGAGGAUGGCGCAGAAAGCCCAGGCGGGUUCCGCUCUGCUGUGCACCAGGCGCUAGGUGUUGGAAUCCACUCGACAGCACUAACAACAAAUGACUAAUGACGCUGAGCAUCUUUUCAUGGGCUUGUUGGCCAUUUGAACCUCUUCUUUGGAGAAACGUCUAGUCAAAUCCUUUGUCCAUUUUUUAACUGGGCUGCUUGUCCUCUGGUUGUCGAGUUGUAAGAGUCCUUUAUAUGUUCUGGAUGUUAAACUCUUAUCAGACACAUGAUUUGCAAAUAUUGUCUCCA